GACAACCGUAAUGAGACGGUUAGGGGGGGUAAACAGACGGCACAGUUCAAGGAUUGUCCAGUUGACAUCUACAGGAGACGACUGUCCAGGUGACAUCUACAGGAGAUGACUGUCCAGGUGACAUCUACAGGAGAUGACUGUCCAGGUGACAUCUACAGGAGAUGACUGUCCAGAUGACAUCUACAGGAGAUGACUGUCCAGGUGACAUCUACAGGAGAUGACUACUGUUGGGGAGGAUUGUCCAGGUGACAUCUACAGGAGAUGACUACUGUUGGGGGAGGACUGUCCAGGUUCCAUCUACAGGAGAUGACUACUGUUGGGGAGGAUUGUCCAGGUUACAUCUACAGGAGAUGACUACUGUUGGGGAGGAUUGUCCAGGUUACAUCUACAGGAGAUGACUACUGUUGGGGAGGAUUGUCCAGGUGACAUCUACAGGAGACGACUACUGUUGGGGAGGAUUGUCCAGGUUCCAUCUACAGGAGAUGACUACUGUUGGGGAGGAUUGUCCAGGUUACAUCUACAGGAGAUGACUACUGUUGGGGAGGAUUGUCCAGGUUACAUCUACAGGAGAUGACUACUGUUGGGGAGGAUUGUCCAGGUUACAUCUACAGGAGAUGACUACUGUUGGGGAGGAUUGUCCAGGUUACAUCUACAGGAGAUGACUACUGUUGGGGAGGAUUGUCCAGGUUACAUCUACAGGAGAUGACUACUGUUGGGGAGGAUUGUCCAGGUUACAUCUACAGGAGAUGACUACUGUUGGGGAGGAUUGUCCAGGUUCCAUCUACAGGAGAUGACUACUGUUGGGGAGGACUGUCCAGGUUACAUCUACAGGAGAUGACUACUGUUGGGGGAGGACUGUCCAGGUUCCAUCUACAGGAGAUGACUACUGUCGGGGGAGGAUUGUCCAGGUUACAUCUACAGGAGAUGACUACUGUUGGGGAGGAUUGUCCAGGUUACAUCUACAGGAGAUGACUACUGUUGGGGAGGAUUGUCCAGGUGACAUCUACAGGAGAUGACUACUGUUGGGGAGGAUUGUCCAGGUUACAUCUACAGGAGAUGACUACUGUUGGGGAGGAUUGUCCAGGUUCCAUCUACAGGAGACGACUACUGUUGGGCCAAGUAGUUCUCCUGGUGGUUAGGAAAACCUCCUGGCCAUAGGGAUAACCUAAUUACUGUGUGAAAUAAGAUGUCAUAUAAAAACUCUUACAUUUGCUUCUACAC